rnacentral:lncRNA from 1 species
UCAUCCAUAUCAUCAUGCAAUCAGGUUCUUUCAAAAUAACGGUUUUUAUCUCGACAUUUUUGCAGCCCUGAUAGCAUGAACAUUCACUAUAAUGCAUGACCUAACUUUACGUUUUUAGAGUUUUAGAUUCUACAUAAAUUGUGUAUGAAUUAUAUUCAUAAUUGUUGAAUUAUGUGAAUUUGAUAUUUGCCAUGAAUUGCAUCAAAUAUAUGUACAUGCAUUAAAAUUAUUGAAUUGCAUAUGCAUCAAUUUGAAUUAUAUAUGAAUUGAAUUGAGAAAAAAAAAUUGGAAUUGGGAAACAAUGGGGUUUUUUAAACCUCUGAC